rnacentral:rRNA from 1 species
AAAUUAUUUCAAUUUUCUUUCACAAUACUAUUACACUAUAAUUAAAAUUAUUUUUUCAUUAUUCAUUACUAAAACAAAUCUUUUUAUAAUUAUUUUUAAUAAUUUAAACUUUAAAAAAUAUAAAUUAAUAAAUAAAAUAUAAUCAAUUUAUAUUGAUUUGCACAAAAAUCUUUUCAAUGUAAAUGAAAUGCUUUACUUAAUAAGCUUUAAAUUGCAUUCUAGGUACACUUUCCAGUACAUCUACUAUGUUACGACUUAUCUUACCUUAAUAGUAAGAGUGACGGGCGAUGUGUGCAUAUUUUAGAGCUAAAAUCAAAUUAUUAAUCUUUAUAAUUUUACUAUCAAAUCCACCUUCAAUAAAUAUUUCAAAUUUAUAUCCAUAUAAAUAAUUUUAUUGUAACCCAUUUCUACUUAAAUAUAAGCUACACCUUGAUCUGAUAUAUUUUCUUUUAAAAAAUUAUGAAAAUUAACAUUCUUAUAAAAUAUUCUAAUAACGACGGUAUAUAAACUGAUUACAAAUUUAAGUAAGGUCCAUCGUGGAUUAUCGAUUAUAGAACAGGUUCCUCUGAAUAGACUAAAAUACCGCCAAAUUUUUUAAGUUUCAAGAACAUAACUA